rnacentral:rRNA from 1 species
GCGGACGGCGCUGAAGCCAGUCGAAGAUACCAGCUGGCUGCAACUGUUUAUUAAAAACACAGCACUGUGCAAACACGAAAGUGGACGUAUACGGUGUGACGCCUGCCCGGUGCUGGAAGGUUAAUUGAUGGGGUUAGCGCAAGCGAAGCUCCUGAUCGAAGCCCCAGUAAACGGCGGCCGUAACUAUAACGGUCCUAAGGUAGCGAAAUUCCUUGUCGGGUAAGUUCCGACCUGCACGAAUGGCGUAAUGAUGGCCAGGCUGUCUCCACCCGAGACUCAGUGAAAUUGAACUCGCUGUGAAGAUGCAGUGUACCCGCGGCAAGACGGAAAGACCCCGUGAACCUUUACUAUAGCUUGACACUGAACAUUGAGCCUUGAUGUGUAGGAUAGGUGGGAGGCUUUGAAGUGUGGACGCCAGUCUGCAUGGAGCCAACCUUGAAAUACCACCCUUUAACGUUUGAUGUUCUAACCUAGGCCCAUAAACUGGGUCGGGGACCGUGUCUGGUGGGUAGUUUGACUGGGGCGGUCUCCUCCUAAAGAGUAACGGAGGAGCACGAAGGUUGGCUAAGCAUGGUCGGACAUCAUGCGGUUAGUGCAAAGGCAUAAGCCAGCUUGACUGCGAGAGUGACGGCUCGAGCAGGUACGAAAGUAGGUCUUAGUGAUCCGGUGGUUCUGAAUGGAAGGGCCAUCGCUCAACGGAUAAAAGGUACUCCGGGGAUAACAGGCUGAUACCGCCCAAGAGUUCAUAUCGACGGCGGUGUUUGGCACCUCGAUGUCGGCUCAUCACAUCCUGGGGCUGAAGUAGGUCCCAAGGGUAUGGCUGUUCGCCAUUUAAAGUGGUACGCGAGCUGGGUUUAGAACGUCGUGAGACAGUUCGGUCCCUAUCUGCCGUGGGCGUUGGAAGAUUGAGAGGGGUUGCUCCUAGUACGAGAGGACCGGAGUGAACGCACCACUGGUGUUCGGGUUGUCAUGCCAAUGGCAUUGCCCGGUAGCUAAGUGCGGAAGAGAUAACCGCUGAAAGCAUCUAAGCGGGAAACUUGCC